AUCAAAAGCCUUGAAAAUACCAGUCAGUACUGUUCAAUGACUUAUUAAGAAGUGGAAAAUUUGGGGAUCUCUUGACACUAAGCCAAGGUCAGGUAGACCAAGAAAGAUUUCAGCCACAACUGCCAGAAGAAUUGUUCGAGAUACUAAGAAAGACCAGCAGGUACCUCGGGAGAAAUACGGGCUGCUCUGGAAAACGACGGUGUGGUUGUUUCAAGGAGCACAAUAUGACAAUACUUGAACAAAAAUGAACUGCAUGGUCGAGUUGCCAGAAAGAAGCCUUUACUGCUCAAAUGCCACAAAAAAGCCCAUUUACAAUAUUCCCAACAACACCUUGACACGCUGCACAGCUUCUGGCACACUGUAAUUUGGAGUGACAACACCAAAAUACAGCUUUAUGGUUACAACCAGAAGUGCUAUGAUUGCAGAGGGGUCAGUAAGGCCUAUAGUGAAUAAAAUACCAAACCCACUUUAAAGUAUGGGUGUAAACUCUAAAGGCAUGGGGAAUCUUGAUAGAAUUGAUGGCAAGAUGAAUGCAGCAUGUUAUCAGAAAAUACUGGCAGAUGAGCAUCCUUUCUAGUUGGUGCUUGUACCAGUUGUGACAUAAAGGUGUCAUUUAACACAUUAAAAAAAACCUUAUUCCCCUUGCUGAAGUACUAGUCACUCUAUCCCAAUUUAUGUCCGGGUAAUUAAAAUCUCCAAUAAUUAACGUGUUACCCCGAUUUGCAGCUUUCCCAAUUUGAACAGCUCUUUUUCCAAAAUAAUAUUUACAUUAGGUGGUUUAUAACAUAUCCCAACCAAUAAUUGAUUUCCUUUUGUUUGCCCCAAGCAGAUAUAUACCCAUAAAGCUUCAACAUUUUCCUUGUCACACUCCACAUGCCUAAGAUUUGACUUUAACUCAUGGUUGACACACAAACAUACCCCACCACCCUUCUUGUUUUUCCUAUCCUUCCUAAAUAACGUGUACCCAUUUAAGUUAACUGCCCCUCUAUUGAUUACAGCAGAAAAAGGUGAAGGUUCUGGAGUGGCCAUCAUAGUCUCCGGAUCUUAAUAUCAUCGAGUCACACUGGGGAGAUCUCAAACAUUUAUGCAAGAAGACCAAAGACUUCGCAUGACCUGUAGGCAUUUUGGUAAGACAAAUGGGCAGCUAUACCACAUGCAAGAAUUAUGGCCCUCAAAGACAACAAUUACAAAAGACUGCACGCUGUCAUUAAUGCUAAAGUGGGCAAUACACAGUAUGAAGAACUAAGGGUAUGCAGACUUUUGAACAGGGGUCAUUUCAUUUUUUUUUCUUUGUUGCCAUAUUUUGUUUUAUUAUUGUGCCAUUCAGUUAAAAUCUACAGUUGGAUAUGAAUCCCAUAAGAAAUAAAAAUAAAUGUGCUUUGUCUGCUCACUCAUGUUUUCUUUAAAAAUGGUUCAUGUAUUACCAAUUCUCCAAGGGUAUGCAAACUUUUGAGCACAACUGUAUAUAUUCACUCAUGUAUAAAAUACACACAUAUUGGGCAAUCUUUGGUACAAAGCAUUGGCUGCAAGCAGAACAUUUUAAUACAUACCCUUGAGAACCCAAUGUCUUGCAAGCUCUGGAAAUAAUUAAUAUCUCAGCUGUAUAAUUCAGGGUCUUUAGGAUAUUGGUAUUUUCUAACUUAUUAUUGCACUCCAGAAUAUUAUACUGCUUUAUUACAAAGAUGAUAUUUACAACUCUGAUAACAUGGCAUGCAUGUUUAGUUUCGUUUAGGGAAUAACAACUUCAGGAAUUCAUUGUAAGAGUUAUUUCUGAUAAAUUUGUAAAACUAAAAGAUAUUGACUAACCAGAGAAUUGUGCUGAAUUAAACAGGUGGAGGUUAGUUUAAAGGGACACUUUAGUCACCAAAACAACUUUAAUUUAAUUAAGCAGUUUUCAUUAGCAACUUCAUUAAGCUAAAAUUGUUUUGGUGACUAUAGUGUCCCUUUAAACUUUAUGUGGAAGGAGACUCCUUCCCAAGGUAAAAAUGUUUGGG